rnacentral:rRNA from 1 species
UAGGAGGCGUCGAGCGGCGGACGGGUGAGUAAUGCAUAGGAAUCUGCCCGAUAGUGGGGGAUAACCUGGGGAAACUCAGGCUAAUACCGCAUACGUCCUACGGGAGAAAGCAGGGGAUCUUCGGACCUUGCGCUAUCGGAUGAGCCUAUGUCGGAUUAGCUAGUUGGUGAGGUAACGGCUCACCAAGGCGACGAUCCGUAGCUGGUCUGAGAGGAUGAUCAGCCACACUGGGACUGAGACACGGCCCAGACUCCUACGGGAGGCAGCAGUGGGGAAUAUUGGACAAUGGGGGAAACCCUGAUCCAGCCAUGCCGCGUGUGUGAAGAAGGCCUUCGGGUUGUAAAGCACUUUCAGCGAGGAAGAAGGCCUGGGGGCUAAUACCCCUCAGGAAGGACAUCACUCGCAGAAGAAGCACCGGCUAACUCCGUGCCAGCAGCCGCGGUAAUACGGAGGGUGCGAGCGUUAAUCGGAAUUACUGGGCGUAAAGCGCGCGUAGGUGGCUUGAUAAGCCGGUUGUGAAAGCCCCGGGCUCAACCUGGGAACGGCAUCCGGAACUGUCAGGCUAGAGUGCAGGAGAGGAAGGUAGAAUUCCCGGUGUAGCGGUGAAAUGCGUAGAGAUCGGGAGGAAUACCAGUGGCGAAGGCGGCCUUCUGGACUGACACUGACACUGAGGUGCGAAAGCGUGGGUAGCAAACAGGAUUAGAUACCCUGGUAGUCCACGCCGUAAACGAUGUCGACUAGCCGUUGGGGUCCUUGAGACCUUUGUGGCGCAGUUAACGCGAUAAGUCGACCGCCUGGGGGAGUACGGGCCGCAAGGUUAAAACUCAAAUGAAUUGACGGGGGGCCCGCACAAGCGGUGGAAGCAUGUGGGUUUAAUUCCGAUGCAACGCCGAAGAACCUUACCUACCCUUGACAUCGUGCGAACUUUCCAGAGAUGGAUUGGUGCCUUCGGGAACGCACAGACAGGUGCUGCAUGGCUGUCGUCAGCUCGUGUUGUGAAAUGUUGGGUUAAGUCCCGUAACGAGCGCAACCCUUGUCCCUAUUUGCCAGCGAUUCGGUCGGGAACUCUAGGGAGACUGCCGGUGACAAACCGGAGGAAGGUGGGGACGACGUCAAGUCAUCAUGGCCCUUACGGGUAGGGCUACACACGUGCUACAAUGGUCGGUACAAAGGGUUGCAAUGCCGCGAGGUGGAGCUAAUCCCAUAAAGCCGGUCUCAGUCCGGAUCGGAGUCUGCAACUCGACUCCGUGAAGUCGGAAUCGCUAGUAAUCGUGAAUCAGAAUGUCACGGUGAAUACGUUCCCGGGCCUUGUACACACCGCCCGUCACACCAUGGGAGUGGACUGCACCAGA